CAAGUCGUACGAGAAAUCUCCUGCUUGCAGGAGAGAGUAAAGUGGCGAACGGGUGAGUAACGCGUGGGUAAUCUACCCCCGAAUUUGGGAUAACAUUGCGAAAGCGAUGCUAAUACCGGAUGGCAUCUUGUGACUUAGGUUGUCAAGAUUAAAGGUGGCCUCUACAUGUAAGCUACCGUUUGGGGAUGAGCCCGCGUGCCAUUAGCUUGUUGGUGGGGUAAUGGCCUACCAAGGCAACUAUGGCUAGCUGGUCUGAAAGGAUGAUCAGCCACACUGGAACUGAGAUACGGUCCAGACUCCUACGGGAGGCAGCAGUGAGGAAUCUUGCGCAAUGGGGGAAACCCUGACGCAGCAACGCCGUGUGAGUGAUGAAGGCUUUCGAGUCGUAAAGCUCUGUCAAGUGGGAAGAAACUGCCGGAUGUUAAUACCAUCAGGCACUGACGGUACCACUGGAGGAAGCACCGGCUAACUCCGUGCCAGCAGCCGCGGUAAGACGGAGGGUGCAAGCGUUAUUCGGAAUUACUGGGCGUAAAGGGCGCGUAGGCGGCUCUUUAAGUCAGGCGUGAAAGCCCGGGGCUCAACCCCGGAAGUGCGUUUGAAACUGAGGAGCUUGAGUACGGGAGAGGGAAGUGGAAUUCCUGGUGUAGAGGUGAAAUUCGUA
rnacentral:rRNA from 1 species